GUUUUGACAGCAGCUUUAAUUUCUGAUGGUAUAUUAUUGGAGCUUUUAUGAAUGCAGUUUUGAACUACAUGGGCAGCAAAAUCAAUUGCUGAAGCACAAAGGCAUGAUCAAAGCUCAUGGCAGCCUCAAGUUCCUGGGUUCAAAUGAUCCUCUCACCUCAGCCUUGCAAGUAGAGCACUAUCUUCUCAGAGGAUUUGAUGCAUGAACACUGUAGAUGAUUGAAUUGAGCUUCACUGGAUGAUAGCAUGUGUUUGCGUUUCCUCUUAUAACUCAUGAUAUUAC
rnacentral:lncRNA from 1 species